GAAUUAUAUAUAAGCGUAGAAGGUCCGUCUCUUAUAAUGAAAAGAUAUUCUAAUUGUCGAGGUAUCCAAAACAUGUAAUCCGGUGUAUUAAGGUAAGAUAUUGAAAUAGAUGACAGCUUUUGAAAAUAAACUAUUUUUAUUGUACAGAACAGAUUUUGAUUAUCAAUAUGUUAACUGCUUAAUCAUAUGAAUAAUGAAGUAGGAAGUUUUUCUGUCUUUGUCUGAUUCCGAUAUUCAAGACUGUAAAACAUUAAUUAAUCGUGUAUACGUCACAUAUGUUGUAAAUGUAAAAUGUCAACAUUGCUAGUUAGUGAGAUAAAA
rnacentral:lncRNA from 1 species